GAUGAACGCUAGCGGCAGGCCUAAUACAUGCAAGUCGAGCGGCAAGUUGGGUAGUAAUACUUAACCUAGAGCGGCGCACGGGUGCGUAACGCGUAUGCAACCUACCUUUUACUGGGGGAUAGCCCGGAGAAAUCUGGAUUAAUACCCCAUGGUACCUAUUGGUCGAAUGACUGAUAGUUUAAAGAUUUAUCGGUAAGAGAUGGGCAUGCGUCUGAUUAGCUAGUUGGCGGGGUAACGGCCCACCAAGGCGACGAUCAGUAGGGGUUCUGAGAGGAAGGUCCCCCACACUGGCACUGAGAUACGGGCCAGACUCCUACGGGAGGCAGCAGUAGGGAAUAUUGGGCAAUGGUCGCAAGACUGACCCAGCCAUGCCGCGUGCAGGAAGACGGCCCUCUGGGUUGUAAACUGCUUUUAUCUGGGAAGAAAAAGUCCAUGCGUGGAAAAUUGCCGGUACCAGAUGAAUAAGCACCGGCUAACUCCGUG
rnacentral:rRNA from 1 species